rnacentral:rRNA from 1 species
UUGAACGCUGGCGGCAGGCCUAACACAUGCAAGUCGAACGGUAACAGGAAGCAGCUUGCUGCUUCGCUGACGAGUGGCGGACGGGUGAGUAAUGUCUGGGAAACUGCCUGAUGGAGGGGGAUAACUACUGGAAACGGUAGCUAAUACCGCAUAACGUCGCAAGACCAAAGAGGGGGACCUUCGGGCCUCUUGCCAUCGGAUGUGCCCAGAUGGGAUUAGCUAGUAGGUGGGGUAACGGCUCACCUAGGCGACGAUCCCUAGCUGGUCUGAGAGGAUGACCAGCCACACUGGAACUGAGACACGGUCCAGACUCCUACGGGAGGCAGCAGUGGGGAAUAUUGCACAAUGGGCGCAAGCCUGAUGCAGCCAUGCCGCGUGUAUGAAGAAGGCCUUCGGGUUGUAAAGUACUUUCAGCGGGGAGGAAGGUGUUGAGGUUAAUAACCUCAGCAAUUGACGUUACCCGCAGAAGAAGCACCGGCUAACUCCGUGCCAGCAGCCGCGGUAAUACGGAGGGUGCAAGCGUUAAUCGGAAUUACUGGGCGUAAAGCGCACGCAGGCGGUCUGUCAAGUCGGAUGUGAAAUCCCCGGGCUCAACCUGGGAACUGCAUUCGAAACUGGCAGGCUAGAGUCUUGUAGAGGGGGGUAGAAUUCCGGGUGUAGCGGUGAAAUGCGUAGAGAUCUGGAGGAAUACCGGUGGCGAAGGCGGCCCCCUGGACAAAGACUGACGCUCAGGUGCGAAAGCGUGGGGAGCAAACAGGAUUUAGAUACCCUGGUAGUCCACGCCCGUAAACGAUGUCGACUUGGAGGUUGUGCCCUUGAGGCGUGGCUUCCGGAGCUAACGCGUUAAGUCGACCGCCUGGGGAGUACGGCCGCAAGGUUAAAACUCAAAUGAAUUGACGGGGGCCCGCACAAGCGGUGGAGCAUGUGGUUUAAUUCGAUGCAACGCGAAGAACCUUACCUACUCUUGACAUCCAGAGAACUUUCCAGAGAUGGAUUGGUGCCUUCGGGAACUCUGAGACAGGUGCUGCAUGGCUGUCGUCAGCUCGUGUUGUGAAAUGUUGGGUUAAGUCCCGCAACGAGCGCAACCCUUAUCCUUUGUUGCCAGCGGUUAGGCCGGGAACUCAAAGGAGACUGCCAGUGAUAAACUGGAGGAAGGUGGGGAUGACGUCAAGUCAUCAUGGCCCUUACGAGUAGGGCUACACACGUGCUACAAUGGCGCAUACAAAGAGAAGCGACCUCGCGAGAGCAAGCGGACCUCAUAAAGUGCGUCGUAGUCCGGAUUGGAGUCUGCAACUCGACUCCAUGAAGUCGGAAUCGCUAGUAAUCGUGGAUCAGAAUGCCACGGUGAAUACGUUCCCGGGCCUUGUACUCACCGC